rnacentral:rRNA from 1 species
GACGAACCGUCCCAAACGUUAUUCGGAAUUACUGGGCUUAAAGGGUGCGUAGGCGGCCUGACAAGUUGGGUGUGAAAUACCUCGGCUCAACCGAGGAAUAGCGCUCAAAACUGUUAGGCUUGAGGAAGAUAGAGGUGAGCGGAACUUAAGGUGGAGCGGUGAAAUGCGUUGAUAUCUUAAGGAACACCCGUGGCGAAAGCGGCUCACUUGAUCUUUUCUGACGCUGAGGCACGAAAGCUAGGGGAGCAAACGGGAUUAGAUACCCUUGUAGU